rnacentral:lncRNA from 1 species
CGGAUCACGAGGUCAGGAGAUUGGGACCAACCUGGCAAACAGGGUGAAACCCUGUCUCUACUAAAAAUACAAAAUACAAAAAAAAUCAGCCUGGCAUGGUGGCGGGCGCCUGUGGUCCCAGCUACUCUGGAGGCUGACGCAGGAGAAUGCCGUGAACCCGGGAGGCGGAGCUUGCAGAGAGCCGGAGAUCACGCCACUGCACUCCAGCCUGGGCUACAGAGCAAGACUCCGUCUCAAAAAAAACCAAAACAAAACAAAACAAAAAAAACACCCAGUUUUUCCAUGGAGUGAUAGAAUUUAAUUGAUGAGCUUGACGAGCUUAAUUACAGAAGGGAGAGCUCCAAAAUACAUGUCAUCACUAAGCAAGUUCUUCCCACUCAUGGAUUCUAGAGGAGUUCACCCAUGUCCAGAGAAAGUUUGCAGAUCCAGCAUUUGUGAAAAUCACAGAAGAUCAUAUGAGAAGGCACCAUUUUAAUGAAAGAACAAGAAACCUGAAAUUCAAUAACAAAGCCUGAAGGCUAGAAAAGGUUAUGAAAUAGCCCAUGAUAAGCACAGGUGGAAAAUUGACACAAAGAGUUUUCUGCUAUGCCAAAUAAAUUUUGUUGUCUUUGUGUGUGUGUAUGCUGCGUAUCUUAAAACCAUAACAUUUUCACUGACAUUGAAUCAUCCUCCUCAGUAACUGAGGGAAACUUCCUUGGGAACCCACCUUAAAUUUUACCAUCUUUGGCAGCUUUUGAAAUGACUCUAUCUUCAAAUUCUUGAAUUUCCACAUUCUCUUCUCUGACUUUACCUUUGAUUAUUUUGCUCUCAGUAAAUCUGCAUCUCAGUCUUCCUCUUCUCAGUUCUAUCCUAGUGUACCAGCCCAUUAACCCCUGUUUGAUUUUAUUUGGCUCUCUUCCUCCAUGGGGCUACACGUAAGCCUCAUGCUCAUUGUAGUCCCUGUCUCUCUUCAACACUGGUAUCUUACCACCUCUCCAUAACUUCCCACUAUUUCUUUCUUGCCAAUCAUCAACCCUGUGUAAUAUCUACUGUCUUAUUUUCUUUGACGCUAGAAAUCAAGGCCCUGAUGGUCAAAGGCAUUAAACAAUCUAUGGGUUUGCCAUAAGUGCAUUAUGUGGUUUAUUAUUUUGCAGAUAUUUAAUGUGGUACAUGAUAAAAUGUUACUUUUUCUACUAAUCUUAUUUAUGUAGCCGAAAAUCUAGAAAAAUGUUUUUCUU